GGAGAAGGAGUUCCUUCACUCCUUCUUCUUCUUCUCCACUUUUUUCUUCUUCUUUUUCUUUCUUUCCUUGUCUUCUUCUAGAGAGAGAAAGAGAGAUGAGAGUGUGAGAGGGUGAGGAAUGAGAGAAAUUUCUCAUUUACUCCCAUACAUAACUCAAUGGGUUGCAAAAUUGCAGUUAAACCCCUCAACUUUCACUUUAAUACACUGCCUGGACUGGGCAGAUUUCACGCUUGGGGACCGGUCUCCCCGACUUGGGACCG
rnacentral:lncRNA from 1 species